GAGAGAGAGAAAAAAGCUAUUAGAAUAGGAAGACUGGCCUCUUAAGAAUGACUGGAUGGCAAAGUCUGAAUGCAGGAAGUUUCAUUGUUGAAAAGGAAAGAAAAAGUAGCAGUUACAUUUUUUUUUAACAAUCAGAAAGUUCCAGACCUCUUUACUCCAUAAUCUGGUUCUUUGGGAUGUAUUUUAAAAAAAGACCAGAUAAGCACACAGAAACUGAACAACAGCUGCAUAUUUUUCCUAAGAUGCAGCUUUCCAAAAUUUCAAAAUCAAUUAUCUUUCAAGACCUGAAUAGAAACAGAGAAAUGGGAAGCUGGUUUGCAUAUUUAUCUAUUAGGCUAAUACUAGAACUAGUUAACAGAAUAAAAGUGCGUAGGAACUAAAUAAAACAGUAAUCAUAUCUCAACCUAAUUAGCCAAGAUAAUCUUUUAACAGGAUCAUCAGUGUUCUUUCUGAUGCAUCUGUAUUAAUGAACCAAAUACUUUACUUUUUUAAUAUGGGAAAUUAUGAUUAUAAGUUUAGGAAACAUGAAUUUAAACUAACUUCAAAUUAUGAUUUUACAAUACAAACAUCAAUACAAAAAAUGAAACUGUAGUUAUUUAAAUUUUAAUUUUGAAUACUAAUUGAUUUGUUUGAAAACUGGAAUUAAUUUAGGGUUUACAACCACUAAUGUGAGUUAAUGACAUAGCAUAUUUGCUCCUUGUGAUGUCAUAAGGGAUGUGAACAGAAGUAAGCAAGAAGCUUGGGGCCUCCAUUGAACUAUGUGCUUCAUACCCAAAGAUGAAUUAAAAUAUAAAAAAAGCACUUGGGGUCAUAAGCAGGAGAUUACCAGACACAUUUUGAAAGUGCUACUUGAAGGCAGGUACUAGUGAUCUAAAUCAGACUGCAAUCUGAUGCUUAUUUACUCAGAUAGAUAUGAUUGCAAUUUCGAGUGCAUUUUGGCAUAAAACUUUAAAACAUCACAGAUGGAUACGUGGAAUGUUACAAAUAUUAUUAUCACAAUUCGGCUUAAAGUGAAAGGGUGCUGAGGUGAGGUUACUGUGUGCAAUAUGUAUGGACUACAGUUCAAGCUGAAAUCCUGACCAUUAUGAUUCCAGCUAUUCUUCACUGGGGUUGCCAUCCUUUUUGACCCAUCAGGACUCUUGCACAUUUGCAAAGUCCUCCACAAUCAAUUACAAUUAAAAAAGGAGGGCAAGCCUAUUAAUGGGUGCUAGUUCUACAAACUGAUUUUGAAACUGUUCAAUAAAAGCUUGUAUUUAGCAAUUGAUCAUUGUCAGUCUGUGUUAGUUGAUGGGAUCCUAUCUACCAUCAUAUAGUUCUAAUAUAUGCAAGUCUUGAACUCUAAAUGGAAGCUCAAAAGACUUCCUGUUACAAGGACUCAACUCAGCCCUUGAAAUGAGAAAAAGAAUGUUAAUUCCUAUUACUACUUCUGUGAUGGACCAUGCAAUCUGGUACCAGAGAAAAACCAUAAAGAUAUAUUCUGCUGAGGCAAGAACUGGUAUGCCCAAGAAAUCAAGGAGAGUCAGCAUACAUUUGAAUAAAGAAAAGUUGUAAGAGAUUAUUCAAAUGAUGCAAGAAGUCAAGGUUGGGUUUAUAAAUUGCACUAAUUCAUAAUAUAAUGUAUUUAUUUUUGACUGAACAUGUCACAUUAAGUUUGCAAAUCACAGAUUUGGGAGUUACUGUACGUGAAUCUAGCUAUUGUGUCUUAUUUAACAAACCACAAUAUAGUACACUGUGAACUGACAAUGAACAACAGAUGAGUGUUAAAUGUUCUCUUGUUUAAUGACAAAUCACCACUUUAUACAAUCAUAGUUUAGCAUCUACAUUUGGACCUAUGCCAUGAUAUGCCCAUUUUGUAUUUUCCUUUCUACAACCUUCCUCCAUCAUAUGUGCAGGAAGGACCUGCCCUUUUUUUUUUUUACCUCUGCCUUUUUUUUGCCUCUAAAAUAAUUAUUUCUGCCCAGGUAUGACUUUAUUCAGAUUUGUUACCUUUGACUUUUAUUCGUUCCAUAUUCAAGCUUGCAUUGCCUGUUCUUUCCUAGUGUACCAUUCAAUAAAAAUAUUAGCAUUGGCUCCUAGAAGAGUAAUAUGCUUCUUUUAAUUGCAAUCUAAUCCUCCCUUAUGCUACCUUGAUGAAACUGAAUUCAGAGAUGCCAGGCCUCUAUGUGCAUCGUCAAAUAUAUGAUUAUCUACAAAAAGUGCAGACAUCUGUAUUAAUUCAGGAACCCUUGGUUCAGUUAAAUAGGAGUUAAUGUGUUGCAUAUUUUUAUGGCUAGCUCAUGAUUCAGUGACAAGUCAGCUUCUGUAAAAGAAUUUAAACCUGUUUACAGGGAGCACUACUGCUUCGCAUUUUGAUGGCCUCAUUAAAAAAAAACAUUGUUAUAUAGAACAUUAUGACUGUGUGUAUGGUUGACAUUCUGUACAUUAAUAGAAUAAAGCCUAGUCACGUAGGAUUUCUAUACUCCAUGCCCUAGCAUUUGCACUGGUAUUUAUUGUUUUGGUUUGGCUAAGUCAAACUGUAAUAUAAUUACUUCAUAUUAUCACUGGCUGGCAACUUUGUGGCAAGACAAUAGGGUUACUUUGCUGAUUUUAAAACAGAAAUUCUACAGAACUGGCAUCACAUUCCUAUUGUAUGCACUAUUUUAAAAAUGGCAUUUGACACAAUUUAUUUAUCUGACAUGUUGGAUACCCUAAUAAUUUGGUGAAGAAUUUCUCAUAUUUGGUAGCUUAUAAUCAACUUGAUUGGAAAAAUAUCUAUUUGACUUGUUAGAAAAAUACAAAUAAAAUACUUCCCUUUUAAACCAGAAAUAGGAAUAUCUCUAAGUCUUUCAGCUCUUCAAAUGUUAGAAGAAACAAUUAGAAACAGCAAUUUACUGUGUCGAGAUUACUGUAUAUACAAUUUUCUUUUGACUGCCCAAAUUAUUCAAUUAAUAGCAAUAACACUUAGACAUAUAAUACUGCUCCAUAGUGCUUUACAACACUCCUUGGGCAGUUUGCAAUGUCAGCAUAUUGCCCCCAAUAAUUUGGGCCCUCAUUUUAGUAACCUCGGCAGGA